GGGUGGUUAGCUCAGCGGAAGAGCGUCUGCUUGACGUGCAGAAGGUCAGAGGUUCAAAUCCUCUACCACCCACCA
rnacentral:tRNA from 2 species